GGCGUUUUGCGGCCGGUCCUCGGCCGGCAGGGUGGCCUGGGGAUGUGUGAGAAACGGGAAUCCUCGCCGGGUCAGGAACCCAGAACUCUGGCCCGGCUCGGCAGUGGGGUGGUGACAGCCCUCCAGGGGGCGCCCGGAUCGGACUUGGGGCUCAGUGGCCCCGAGCUCACCGUGGGAGCCUCGCCGCGCUUCAGCGGGGAGGCCGGUGAGAGGGCCUGCCCACGCCUGCCUUCCCCACUGUGCUGUGAGCUCACGCACAUUCCGCAGGGGACCCCGCGGCUGGAGCAGCCAGGACUGGCUGCAGCUGCUGCGGAGGAAGGGAGGGCCAGGCCGGCCGGAAGACAGGCCCUGCACUCGUCCAGGAGCGGGGGGACCAGCUGGGCGCCCAGGGCUGAGGGCGAGGGCAGCGCGGACAGUUUUGCCUCUCUUCAGAAGGAAAACGACAGCAAGACUCGCAGGCUGGGGGCACGCGGGGAGCGGGGUUGGCACCGUGUCGGACGGACAGCGCGCGGCGCGUUAGCCCGAGGCCUGAGGCCUGAGCUUGGCGGCGGCCUGCAGCCAGAGGACGCGGGAAAGGGAGCGGGCACCGGGAGCGCCGCUUCUGCGUCUGCCCGCGAAACCUUAGGGGGACCGAGGCCUCCCUGGCGCCCAGCACAGCCCAUCCAGGCCCGGGCGGCUCCUGGCGGGGCGCGGCCAGCAGGGGGCGCGCCGCACCCGGGAACGUGCGUGGCGGGCGCCCGGCAGGGGCCGCCCAGGAGGAGGCCGACUGCGGAUGCUGCCGCGCGUGGCUAGGGCCCCUGGAUCUGCAGCUCCGAAACACGCGUGAGCUUCCGGGCCCCCGAUCUGACAGGAGGCCCAGCAGGGCAGCCGGGCAGUUUCCGCCUGGCGAGGAAGCUUGCGAAUGUCACCUGUCCUUGGCCUCUGACUGGUGUUCCCCUGUGGCCUAUGGAUGCUGCAUUUAUGUUCCUGGUUGCUCUGUGAACCCCAUACUGAGACGAGUCCCCUUCUAAACAUCGCCAGGGUCCAAGAGCUGUCUGAUCCUCCCCAGCCCUGACUGUCUCAGCUCCAGGCAGGUGGGGACAGCGCCUGAGUGGUCAGGAGGACCCGAAAGUCCUCUGGAUGGGGUAAGCACAGUGUGUGCCGGGCUGGUCUCAGCUCCCUGUCUUUCUUGCCCUUUUGGAUACUUGGUGUCCUCCCCUCUCAACACUGAGCCGGCCCUCCUGUGACUCUCCCAGUCUUUACAGAAACCCUUAUUUCCUGGGCACGGUGUAGUCAGAGAAGAAACUGUUACCUAAUUCUUAUACCUUAGUUUGCUUAUACCCAACAGCUACUGUGAAGAAUAACAAAAAGAAGCUUUAAAUUCUAUUGUUAUUUAUUUAUUUUUUCUAUUCUUAUCUUCAGUAUCCUAUCUGGUACUGGAUUUUCACAGUGCCACAGAAGGGGGCAGAGAGAGGACAGAAAUCUGUUCUGACCAAGCCACGGGAGCAGUCGGACAGAGAAUUUGACACGAGUUCUAACAGGCUUGGGACAGAGAAAAGUAUAUAGUCCUUAAGACUGUGUUCCUGACUUCGCAGUGGAUUCGAUCAAGACUGUGGAGGAAGUAGCUGGGAACAGUAAUUAGUCCGAAGAUUUAGGGAGAACUGUGGCUGUAAAUUCUCCAUGUCUGACCCUCUGACAGUUUUUUGAAGAGUCGGUUAUAUGAUUGCUCACGUCUAAACUCCUGGGAAUUUUAGGAAAGGCACUCAGGAGAAGUGUGUGUGUGUGUGUGUGUGUGUGUGUGUGUGUGUAUGCCAUUUGCAAAAAAUUCAAGGGUGCAAUUAUACCAUAUCCACAGCUGAACACAUUUUCCUGAUGCUUCAUUGAUUUCGUAAUUUUAUUUUCUCAAGAGUUCCUCAAAAUAGCCAUUUGUGCACAUUUGUCUUUUCAUCUAAUUUUAUUUUGAUAAUAGUUGGAAAACACAGCCAGAUGCUUCCUUUUAAAAAAUCUUCAUAUUGACAUCAACAUCAAGAUUAACCCUCAGACUCCCGAAAGUCACUUGUUACUUCAGCCAGCAGUGAAGUUGGCCGACUCUUCUGACCUUGGGCGGCAGUGGGGCCUGAACCCUGGCCCGCCCACGGAGAGCUGCCGCUGAGCCCCUUUUCCACCUGGCUCCCCGGGGAACCACAAGCAGACAGACUUCCUCCUAGCAUUAAGUAACUACCCAGGCGUCAGUGGGCGCAGUGCCGUUAACUGGUCGCCCUUCACAGACAGGUGGAAUUCUCCCCACAUUCUUUACUGGAACCUAAAUUUGGGGGUGUGCUUUCCAGAACCUUUGCUUUUUCUAUCCACACACACAGAAAGUAACCAUUUCUCCCUGCACCUGUUUUCCUUCUUUCUGAGCCGAGGCCUCACUGCUGUUUGUCAUCCAGGGCUGGCCUCGAACUUGCAGGCCCACUGCCUCCGCCCUCUGAGUGCUGGGAUGGCAGGAGUGCGCAUGCUGGCCUUUUCCUGCUUUCCCGUUUUCCCUGGACCUGCAUCUCCAGGAGCCCCAAGCCCGGCUGGCGGCCCGGGGCUGUGCAGCAUCUCGCCUUCCCCGGGGGGAGAACGUCACUGACGCCCCUGAAAAUGGCUUGUGAGGGAGACCACUUUGUUUCCAUUUCCGGUCUGUAAUUUGCAGAUCUUUAAGAAAAAGCAGCGAAACCCCUUCCAGGACUCUGUAUUCGUAGGAUUUCUGCCAGAAGGAUCUCAAGAUCGCAGGAUCCACCUGACGGGACGCAGAGAGGCUCGGGAGGAAGCGGGCGGCCGGGUGGGAUCCGCCCCAGCCCCCUUCCACCACACCGAAGAGCCAGGUCCUUUGCUGCCUUGCUCAGCGCCCGCUUUUCCGGCUCCUGUCUGCCCGUCUGUCCUCUUUCUGUUUAAUUCACCGCUGGUCACUUCCUGCUCGGCCCCACGUCUAAUCGGAGUGUCCGGCAGCGGACCAGCAGCCCUCCUCGCUGACGCUCCGGCCCAGCGAGGAGCGCAGGCCCCAGGCAGCUCACAUCCGGCACAUCCCAGGGGUGAGGCGAGGCCUGAGCCCUGCCUUGGCUGGAAGAAUCGGAACAGCGCUGAAGACAGCCCCAUCCUCCUUUAAAAACAAUUCUGUACGGUGCAGUGGUGCGUGCCUGUAACCCCAGCACCCGGGAGGCUGAGGCAGGAGGAUCCUCACGAGUUCAAGGCCAGUCUGAGCUACAUAGUGAGAUGCUGUCUCAAAAGACCAAAAAUUCUAGCAUCAUUGGUGGAAGAUGAUAAUCUCAUUUUGUUUUAAUUUUUGACAGUAUAAAGAAUAAUUUUCAUAUUUACUAGAUUUGUCUUAUUUAAUUUCCCCUUUUGCUUCAAGCCAGUCUUUCUCGGUUGUACGCUCUUUUGCAAACCCACCUUGGCUACCCAGGGACUUUCUACUUUGAAUUUCUAAAGAGCCAAAGCCAACUGCGGAUGUUUACCGAGCUUGUGCUGCAAAGGAGUACAGGGGAGCGCUCCGUGCGCCCCCGUUACGCGCACCAAGCAGCCCGGGGUGCUGCUCGGAGCCCCCGGAGGAAGGCUCGGGCUGUCAGGCCUGCGGUUAGGAGCCCUGCCUCGGCUGCCCUGGGUGGAGCUGCUUCCAGCACCAUCAGGGAUACCGCGGGGCAGUGGAGGGGCGAGGGGUGCAGACCCCGCUGGUUCCAGCGGCCGCCCUGAGCAGGGGACCCUGGAUGUUGGUACUGACAGGAGGCCCUGAGGGCUGAGCGCGCCCGGAACGGGGCAGCGCCGCGGCUCUGACCCGGGCUCACUGGCUCGCACUUAGCGCGCAGUUCUCAGGGGGCAACGAGACAUUUCCUGCUCAGGUCCCGGCUGCGGAGGGAGUCCCGGGUGAGGGAUCUCCCCGAAAUGCCAGGCUGAGAAGGCCUCAGACGCUCACAGGGGAAGCCCGCGGCCUUUGCCCUCGAAGGAAUUUGGGGCAGAUUCCUUCUCCCAGUCACAGUUCCUUUCUUGACUGACCAAAGCUGUAGUUUGACUUCCUUCCUGGAACUCUGCCCUCUGCUGUUGGCCCCGCUGGCCCCGCUGCUAUAUCCUCAUUGGUGGGUCCCUUUUGCCUAUAAACCCUCAACAUAUAAUGGUUCAUCUUAGGACUUUUCAACGUUAUGCUACUACCAACGCCACAAACAUUCAGGAGAGACUGUGCUUGGAGUGCUGAUCUCUGUCUGUCCCUCGGAAGCUGCGCCAUGACCCUCCUCACUCCGGGCUGGCCAGUGCAGCUCCCCACCAGCCAGGACCCACAGUGUGUCUGGGCUCUGCUUAAUGGGUGAGCUGUACCCAAUGCAUCUCCAGUUUAUGCUUUUAUCAACGUAGGGUGGGUUUAUUAGGCUGUAAGUCAAGGAGCAGCUGUCUUUGAGAUGCCACUGUUAGGGGCAACCUGCAGAUGGCCCUGUGAGGGGCAGCAAGUGGUGCGGCCCAUCCUCCAAGUACCCAGGCAUCAUGGGGCACCUGUAGCAGCCACUUGACCUUCAAAGCUGUGACAGUGAAUCUUGAUGGUCAACUUGCUUGGCUUGAGAGAGUCCUAGGAGAUUAGUCAAGCAGAGCGUCGAGUGUCCCGGUGUCCCCUUAAGUACUUUGUCUGGUCCCUGGCCCCUGCCUCUCUGGUCCCACCCUCUGCUUCCCAACUGCCAUGAGUUGAGACGCUUUCCUCCACUUCCACCAUGAUGUUCCUGACCCGGAGCCAACUGACUGUGGACUGAACCUUCUGAAGCUGUGAGCCAAAAUAAACCUCUCUUCCUUUCAGUUGCAGGUGUCAGCUGUUUGGUCCCAGCACUGGACAGGUGACAAAUAUAAUGGUAUCAUGUAAUGUCGGGACUGGCUAGAAAAGUCUGAGAUCGCCCAAGACAACCGGGGAGCCCAGAGUGUCUCUUCAACACCAAGGAAGAGCCAAGAGGCACUGUCUUGUUGGAGACAACAGCUAAAAGCCUGCAGAGCAAGGAUCCGGGGGCAGGGGCAGGGAGCAGCUGCGGCAGGGGACAGACAGACAGGCAGGCAGGCAGACGGCAGUGAUCCGCUUUCUCAACAGUUCCAGCGCAGAGUCCUGUGACCCGCUGUGCAGUGCUGGACCUGACCGAUCGCUCACAGCCCUCCUUCCUUCGGGCACGCCUUUGCACCGAGCUGCCUUCCCAGCCCACCCCUGUCAGCUGCGUAUUCUGAGACGUUGUCUCCCUAAGUCACUGAGUUGCCCAGGCUGGGCGCAAACUUAUGAUCCUCCUGCCUCAGCCUCCCAGAGCACGGUGAAAAUAGGCCUGGCUGGAAAGUAUCCUCUACAUGCAUCAUCUUCACUGUCCUCUCAGCAGCCCUAGAUCAGGACUGCUUCGUCAUCUUGUAUUCCAGAUGGGGAGACGAGGCACAGAGAUGAGUUCCCGAGGCAGGGAGCCAGCCGACUCGAGCCCCACACUGGGGUCACAGAGCAUGCUGGUCGGCGCCAAGCUCCUGUCGGGCCGAGGGGCAGUGUGGAGAGCAGCUCUAGGGUCAGCUCCCCUGGCUCACAGGGCCGGGGCGCCCCGGGGGAUCCUGGCUACUCCUCCCCAGAGGAGAAGGCUGGGCAGGGGGCCUCUGCUCUCUACAGCGAGAUCCGGAGGAGUCCGGACAGAGGGGAGCGUUCUCUCAGUCUGGUGUUGGGCCCCAACUUCAAAGCCCAGGGGUCAUGGAAAGCGCAGGGAAGGCCGUGCUGCUGAGAAGGCCCUGCGGGCUCUGGGGUCAGGGAGAAGGCAGCCAGCCCGUCUGCAGCUCCCUUGCUCUCAGGUGUAAAGUGCACGGAACUCCCUGGCUCUGCACUGGUGGGCUGGAGCGCUCACACACGGCAAAUCCUCAGCCCAGUGCCUGGCACACGGCCUGUUCUCAGGCCCCAUGGGAAUCUCGCUUCUAGGGCUCUGCUAAUAUCAGUCUGGGGAUUCUGCCUCUUAGGCCAAAGUCUCCUCUGAAUUCUUUACUCCCUUGUUUCGGAUGACAAGAUCCAGGACUUCUUUUAGUACCUGUGGUUCUCGAAGUCCCAGGGCCCUUUUCCACAUCUCACUUUGGGCUUGGUGCCGUGGCCAACAUGGCCAGGGCUCUGGUGCUCACCUCUUCCUCUCCAGGGCUGCAGAAAUAGGGCCCCUGCGCCCUUUGGCCUGCAGGGCUCCUGGGCCAGGCUGCCCCUGCUAGAGGUCAGGCCCGCUGGCUUCCCUAGGCUCUGCACCGAUCGCCCAAGUCCACUGCCUCUGGCGGGCCUGCCGGGCGCAGCCCCCAGAACCCAGCCCCUGCUGCCUCCCUGAGAAUCCUGCCAGAGCUCUCUACUGCGACACCAGGACCUGAUGACAGCAGCAAGUUGGGUUCCUUUUUGUAGCAAAUGACAAGAGAUCCAGCUGAAACAAACAUAAACCACUCUGUGAUAGAAAAGUCAGGGCGCAGCAGGAUGUGAAAUCGCCAACCAAAUUAUCAAGUCUGUGCCCGUCUUUGCCCUCUGGUGGCUUCAUUUGGCCAGAGCUCCCCAGUCAGGCGGCAGAGGCAGCUCACCUGUGGCUGCCUGCGGUUCCUCUCGGGCAUUGCUCCUCCCACAUGCUUGCCCUUCGAAGCAAGGUGGUGACUUCGAAGAUUUCUCUACCAGUGGUAGAAUACCUCUGCCUUCUCUCUGAGGUUGGGUGUAGCUAGUGAUGCAUUUCAUUGAAGGAACAUGGUUGUGAACCACAGGACAUCAGUUCUGAGCCUUGGUCUUAAGAUCUCCAUUUGCCCUUCUCCACUGCUGGUGGGAAUGCAGACUGGUGCAACCACCGUGGAAAUCAGUAUGGAGAUACCUCAAAGAACUAGGACUGGAGGUCCCGUUUGACCCAGCUACUCCCCUGCUGGGGAUCUUCCCCAAAGAAUUAAAAGAAUCAUACCACAGUGAUAUAUGUGCACCCAUGUUCACAGUGGCACAGUUUGUGAUAGCUAAAGCUUGGAAGCAACCCAAAUGCCCAUCAACUGGAGACUGGAUCAAGAAAAUGUGUUUUUUUUUUAAUAAAAUGGAGUACUACUCAGACAUAAAGAACAAGAAACUAGAGACAUUUAUGGCCAAAUGGAUGCACACUGAGGCCAUACUCUUAAGUGAAAUAAAUAGGACACACAUGUGUAAAUACCAAAUAGUUUCUCUAGUGUGAGAAACUGACAGUGUAAAUAAGGAUUAAAACAUAUAAUAGAUAAUGUGAAAUAGGAAGAAAAGGUCCAAAGGGGUAGGGGUGGUGGGAGGGGAAGGGGAAAGGGAAGAAGGGAAAGGAAAAAUUAUGAGAAAAGAAAAAAAAUGGAAACAAAGUCUAUGUAAAUAGGGAAGGGUGGAGGGGGUGAAGGGCGAACAGGUAAUGGGGAAGAAAUAAGAACCAAGAUACGUCGUGUACAGGUGCAAGCACCCAAUGAGAAAUGUAAAUGAAUUGUAUACCUAAAGUGUACCAAUAAAAGAAUCUAAGAAAACAAAAGAUCUCCAUUUGCUUUUCCCACGCUUCUGGAAUCACCGUGAGCG
ensembl:lncRNA